rnacentral:rRNA from 1 species
AUUGAACGCUGGCGGCGUGCUUAACACAUGCAAGUCGAGCGGUAACGCGGGGGCAACCCUGGCGACGAGCGGCGAACGGGUGCGUAAUGCAUGGGAAUCUGCCUGAUAGUGGGGAAUAACCCGGGGAAACUCGGGCUAAUGCCGCAUACGACCUACGGGUGAAAGCGGGGGACCCGUAAGGCCUCGCGCUAUCGGAUGAGCCCAUGUCGGAUUAGCUAGUUGGUAGGGUAACGGCCUACCAAGGCUACGAUCCGUAGCUGGUCUGAGAGGACGGCCAGCCACACUGGGACUGAGACACGGCCCAGACUCCUACGGAGGCAGCAGUGGGGAAUAUUGGACAAUGGGGAACCCUGAUCCAGCGACGCCGCGUGUGUGAAGAAGGCCU